CCCCUAUGCCUAGCCCUAAAUCCUGAUGCUUGCCUUACCAAAACAUCCGCCCGAGAACUACGAGCACAAACGCUUAAAACUCUAAGGACUUGGCGGUGUCCUAAACCCCCCUAGAGGAGCCUGUUCUAUAAUCGAUAACCCACGAUCCACCUAACCUCCCCUUGCCAAAGCAGCCUACAUACCGCCGUCGCCAGCUUACCUCCUAUGAGAGUACUAGAGUGAGCAAGAUAGCCUCAACUGCUAACAAGACAGGUCAAGGUAUAGCCAAUGGGAAGGAAGAAAUGGGCUACAUUUUCUAGCAUAGAAAACCAUACCAACGGAAGGGAGCAUGAAACUGCCCCCCGAAGGCGGAUUUAGCAGUAAAGCGGGACAAUAAAACCCCCUUUAAGUCGGCCCUAGGACACGU
rnacentral:rRNA from 1 species